rnacentral:other from 1 species
AAACUCCUGCCCUGUGCGUGGCCCGGAGAUGAUCAUUGGGGCCUACAAGUGGGCUGAAAGGGAACCCGGCUUCGGGGGAGUCCCCGCAGGGCACUCCGAGAGGGUUCCCACCUUGAGAGCGGAGGCCCACCGACGUCUCCUGCGGCCACGGCAGGGUGGGUUCC